rnacentral:tRNA from 1 species
GUCUUCGUUGUGUAGUCGUCAGCACGCUCGGCACGUACUCCAGAGGUCCGUGGUUCGAUUCCCGGCGAGGGCA